rnacentral:rRNA from 1 species
GAUGAACGCUAGCUACAGGCUUAACACAUGCAAGUCGAGGGGCAGCAUGAACAUAGCUUGCUAUGUUUGAUGGCGACCGGCGCACGGGUGCGUAACACGUAUCCAAUCUGCCCGUUACUCGGGGAUAGCCUUCUGAAAGGAAGAUUAAUACCCGAUAGUAUCCAUUAGCGGCAUCGCCUAUGGAUUAAAGAUUUAUCGGCAACGGAUGAGGAUGCGUACGAUUAGCUGGUUGGCGGGGUAACGGCCCACCAAGGCGACGAUCGUUAGGGGUUCUGAGAGGAAGGUCCCCCACACUGGAACUGAGACACGGUCCAGACUCCUACGGGAGGCAGCAGUGAGGAAUAUUGGUCAAUGGUCUGACGACUGAACCAGCCAUGCCGCGUGAAGGUCACGGCCCUAUGGGUCUUAAACUUCUUUUGCAAGGGNGCAAUAAGUCUUACGUGUAGGAUGAUGAGAGUACCUUACGAAUAAGCAUCGGCUAACUCCGUG